rnacentral:rRNA from 1 species
GUAAGGAAUAUUGGUCAAUGGGGGCAACCCUGAACCAGCCAUGCCGCGUGAAGGAUGAAGGCGUUAUGCGUUGUAAACUUCUUUUGUAUGGGAAGAAUGACAGGGAUUCAUCCUUGGAGAGACGGUACCAUACGAAUAAGCACCGGCUAACUCCGUGCCAGCAGCCGCGGUAAUACGGAGGGUGCAAGCGUUAUCCGGAAUCACUGGGUUUAAAGGGUACGUAGGCGGUUAAUUAAGUCAGUAGUGAAAGACUGUCGCUCAACGACGGAUGUGCUAUUGAUACUGGUUAACUUGAAUAAGGUUAGAGUUGGCGGAAUGGGUCAUGUAGCGGUGAAAUGCUUAGAUAUGACUUGGAACACCGAUAGCGAAGGCAGCUGACUGAGCCUUGAUUGACGCUGAGGUACGAAAGUGUGGGUAGCGAACAGGAUUAGAAACCCGGGUAGUCC